GCAAGUCGAGCGCGCCCUUCGGAGGGAGCGGCGGACGGGUGAGUAACGCGUGGGAAUUUACCCUUCACUAUGGAAUCGCCUCGGGAACCUGAGAGUAAUACCAUAUACGCCCUUCGGGGGAAAGAUUUAUCGGUGAAGGAUUAGCCCGCGUUAGAUUAGAUAGUUGGUGGGGUAAUGGCCUACCAAGUCUACGAUCUAUAGCUGGUUUGAGAGGAUGAUC
rnacentral:rRNA from 1 species